CAUGUACUCCCUCCGUUCCAAAUUACUCGUCGCUGAAAUGGAUGUAUCUAGAACUAAAAUACAUCUAGAUACAUUCAUACGUGCGACAAGUAAUUCGGAACGGAGGGAGUAUCAU
rnacentral:pre_miRNA from 1 species